AUUCCCUAGUACCUGCGAGUGAAGAGGGAAAAGCUCAAAUUUAAAAUCUGGCCGCUUCGCUGUCCGAGUUGUAAUUUAGAGAAGUGUUACCCGCGCUGGACCGUGUAUAAGUCUCCUGGAAUGGAGCGUCAUAGAGGGUGAGAAUCCCGUCUUUGACACGGACUACCAGGGCAUUGUGGUGCGCUCUCGAAGAGUCGAGUUGUUUGGGAAUGCAGCUCUAAAUGGGUGGUAAAUUCCAUCUAAAGCUAAAUAUUGGCGAGAGACCGAUAGCGAACAAGUACCGUGAGGGAAAGAUGAAAAGAACUUUGGAAAGAGAGUUAAACAGUACGUGAAAUUGCUGAAAGGGAAACGCUUGAAGUCAGUCGCGUUGGCCGGGGAUCAGCCUUGCUUUUGUGAGGUGUACUUCCCGGUUGACGGGUCAGCAUCAGUUUCGACCACUGGAGAAAGGCUUGGGGAAUGUGGCACCUUCGGGUGUGUUAUAGCCCCUUGUUGUAUACAGUGGUUGGGACUGAGGAACUCAGCACGCCGCAAGGCCGGGUUUCGACCACGUUCGUGCUUAGGAUGCUGGCAAAAUGGCUUUAAGCGACCCGUCUUGAAACACGGACCAAGGAGUCUAACAUGCCUGCGAGUGUUUGGGUGGAAAACCCGAGCGCGUAAUGAAAGUGAAAGUUGGGAUCUCUGUCGUGGAGAGCACCGACGCCCGGACCUGAUGUUUACUGACGGAUCUGCGGUAGAGCAUGUAUGUUGGGACCCGAAAGAUGGUGAACUAUGCCUGAAUAGGGUGAAGCCAGAGGAAACUCUGGU
rnacentral:rRNA from 1 species